rnacentral:lncRNA from 1 species
UUUUGUUUUUUCUAGUGAUGAAUCCUUUUCAUAUAACGUGAUUAACUUAUUUUAAUGGAACCUAUUGCUUGCACAAAGUGAACUGAGGAACAAAUGUUAAUUUGUUUUUUUAAUCUUAUAUGCCUAAGUGGACUGAGAAGUAUUCCUUCUGGAGGGCGCUACAAGGAUCCAUGAUUGCACAGUUCAAUGGCUAUUGUAUCAGCACCUACCAAGUGGAUGUUGCCUGGAUUUUCUCUCAUAAGAUCUGCUUGAUUUCUCCCCCCAAAAUAUUUGAUCAUAG